rnacentral:rRNA from 1 species
GUCUGCGGCUAUGACACCCUGAAUGUGCCUGAUCUCAAAAGCUAAGCAGGGUCAGACCUGGUUAGUACUUGGAUGGGAGACCAUGCAGGAAUACUGGGUGCUGUAGGUG